rnacentral:rRNA from 1 species
AUUGAACGCUGGCGGAAUGCUUUACACAUGCAAGUCGAACGGCAGCACGGACUUCGGUCUGGUGGCGAGUGGCGAACGGGUGAGUAAUACAUCGGAACGUGCCCAGUCGUGGGGGAUAACGUAGCGAAAGCUACGCUAAUACCGCAUACGAUCUAAGGAUGAAAGCGGGGGAUCGCAAGACCUCGCGCGAUUGGAGCGGCCGAUGGCAGAUUAGGUAGUUGGUAGGGUAAAGGCCUACCAAGCCGACGAUCUGUAGCUGGUCUGAGAGGAUGAUCAGCCACACUGGGACUGAGACACGGCCCAGACUCCUACGGGAGUCAGCAGUGGGGAAUUUUGGACAAUGGGCGAAAGCCUGAUCCAGCCAUUCCGCGUGCAGGAUGAAGGCCUUCGGGUUGUAAACUGCUUUUGUACAGAACGAAAAGGCUCUGGUUAAUACCCGGGGCUCAUGACGGUACUGUAAGAAUAAGCACCGGCUAACUACGUGCCAGCCGCCGCCGUAA